CAAUGUUUCGGCUCCUCUCUGAGCCUUUAUCAAGUCUGAUAAACUUAACUUGAUGGAAUUGAUAGAGGCUCAGAGGGGAGCUGAAAUGUU